ACUUUUCCGGUAACGGGUCUGUCUAGCCAGAAUUUCGCAUACCCGGUCAACUGUCGAAUUUUCACGAAUCGAUGAUACCUACACGAAGCCCAUAAUACGGGGGUUAGUACAUAAAUUUUUCAGAAUUUUCUAAGCUCAUUUAAUGCUCGGAAAAACACUGCGAAGUUCCGUGGGACCCACAGAAAAACGGUGUUGAAAAAAUUUAAAAUUUAUGUCGCCG
rnacentral:misc_RNA from 1 species